rnacentral:rRNA from 1 species
UACGUAGGGUGCGAGCGUUGUCCGGAAUUAUUGGGCGUAAAGAGCUUGUAGGCGGUCUGUCGCGUCUGCUGUGAAAAUCCGGGGCUCAACCCCGGGCCUGCAGCCGAUACGGGCAGACUAGAGUUCGGCAGGGGAGACUGGAAUUCCUGGUGUAGCGGUGAAAUGCGUAGAUAUCAGGAGGAAUACCGAUGGCGAAGGCAGGUCUCUGGGCUGACACUGACGCUCAUGCACGAAAGCGUGGGGAGCAAACAGG